CGGAGGGAAACCGAGUCUUAACCGGGCGUUAAGUUGCAGGGUAUAGACCCGAAACCCGGUGAUCUAGCCAUGGGCAGGUUGAAGGUUGGGUAACACUAACUGGAGGACCGAACCGACUAAUGUUGAAAAAUUAGCGGAUGACCUGUGGCUGGGGGUGAAAGGCCAAUCAAACCGGGAGAUAGCUGGUUCUCCCCGAAAGCUAUUUAGGUAGCGCCUCGUGAAUUCAUCUCCGGGGGUAGAGCACUGUUUCGGCUAGGGGGCCAUCCCGGCUUACCAACCCGAUGCAAACUGCGAAUACCGGAGAAUGUUAUCACGGGAGACACACGGCGGGUGCUAACGUCCGUCGUGAAGAGGGAAACAACCCAGACCGCCAGCUAAGGUCCCAAAGUCAUGGUUAAGUGGGAAACGAUGUGGGAAGGCCCAGACAGCCAGGAUGUUGGCUUAGAAGCAGCCAUCAUUUAAAGAAAGCGUAAUAGCUCACUGGUCGAGUCGGCCUGCGCGGAAGAUGUAACGGGGCUAAACCAUG
rnacentral:rRNA from 2 species